ACCGGAGACGACGAGAUUCUCCGGCUUACGGCGGCGGCGCUUCCGAUUUUGGGCUUGUGCGAGAUAGGAAACUGUCCUCAGACGGUGGGUUGCGGUGUCGUGAGGGGAACGGCACGACCGUCGACGGCGGCGAACGUGAACCUCGGCGCGUUCUAUCUGGUUGGCAUGCCGGUGGCUGUUGGUCUCGGGUUUUGGGCCGGUAUUGGGUUUAAUGGGCUUUGGUUAGGACUCCUAGCAGCGCAGAUUAGCUGCGCCGGUCUUAUGUUGUACGUGGUGGGGACCACAAAUUGGGUAUUGGAGGCUGAGAAAGCGCAAACGCUAACAUGCGCAGAGACCGUAGAGAACGAUCUUAUUAAGACGGUGGCGAAUACUAUAGGGGACGACGGUGAGAGCGAUGAGGCACAGCCAUUGAUUCGCAUCACGGUGCUUUAUUAAUUAUAAAGUAUGGUUAUAAAUAUAUUUCCCCUCUUUUGAUAGAAGGAGAAAGUUUUGUCUUUCUUGCCUCUUCGUCGUCGCGUUCUUGAUCUGCUACGUCUGGGCAAGUGGACUCCACGUACCCACUUGGACCGACCCGACAUGGGACUGCUUACGAGGAUGGGGUCCUCUGCUCCGCCUCGCGGGACCCAGCUGUGUCUCCGUGUGUUUAGAGUGGUGGUGGUACGAGAUCAUGACCGUUCUUUGCGGUUUGCUCGUAAACCCGAGAUCGACGGUGGCGGCAAUGGGCGUUUUGAUCCAGACGACGUCGUUUCUCUACGUUUUCCCGUCUUCUCUGAGCUUCGCCGUGUCUUCUCGUGUCGGAAACGAGCUGGGAGCGAGCCGACCCAAGACGGCGAAGCUAUCAGCGAUGCUGUCUAUCGUUUUCGCGGCGGCAACGGGUGUUACAGCGGCCGCGUUUGCUUACUCCGUCAGAAACGUUUGGGGAAGAGUGUUCACCGGAGACGACGAGAUUCUCCGGCUUACGGCGGCGGCGCUUCCGAUUUUGGGCUUGUGCGAGAUAGGAAACUGUCCUCAGACGGUGGGUUGCGGUGUCGUGAGGGGAACGGCACGACCGUCGACGGCGGCGAACGUGAACCUCGGCGCGUUCUAUCUGGUUGGCAUGCCGGUGGCUGUUGGUCUCGGGUUUUGGGCCGGUAUUGGGUUUAAUGGGCUUUGGUUAGGACUCCUAGCAGCGCAGAUUAGCUGCGCCGGUCUUAUGUUGUACGUGGUGGGG
rnacentral:lncRNA from 1 species